rnacentral:rRNA from 1 species
UACAGAGGUCUCAAGCGUUGUUCGGAUUCAUUGGGCGUAAAGGGUGCGUAGGCGGCGCGGUAAGUCGGGUGUGAAAUCUUGGAGCUUAACUCCGAAAACUGCAUUCGAUACUGCCGUGCUUGAGGACUGGAGAGGAGACUGGAAUUUACGGUGUAGCGGUGAAAUGCGUAGAUAUCGUAAGGAAGACCAGUGGCGAAGGCGGGUCUCUGGACAGUUCCUGACGCUGAGGCACGAAGGCCAGGGGAGCAAACGGG